UACGUAGGGGGCUAGCGUUGUCCGGAUUUAUUGGGCGUAAAGAGCGUGUAGGCGGCCAGGUAGGUCUGCUGUGAAAACUCGAGGCUCAACCUCGAGACGUCGGCGGAAACCAUCUGGCUAGAGUCCGGAAGAGGAGAGUGGAAUUCCCGGUGUAGCGGUGAAAUGCGUAGAUAUCGGGAAGAACACCAAUGGCGAAAGCACUCUGCUGGGCCGAAACUGACACUGAGAGACGAAAGCUAGGGGAGCGAAUGGG
rnacentral:rRNA from 1 species